AUUUAAAUAGUUUAAUAAAAAUAUUGAUUUGUGGUGUCAAUGAUAAGAGUUUAUAUCUUUUUAAAUC
rnacentral:tRNA from 1 species